AAGGGAUGUGUAGGGAACUAGAGGRUGAUUCUCUUGGGAGACCCCUUUCUUUGUGGAAGAGGUAGACAUGGAGUCUACAGAGUUGUGGUGAGACAAUGUCCAUGGAGAUGACCUUCCCUGGACUACUGGCCCUGCCUGCAGGCCUAGGGCUAUAUGCAUACCCCAGUGUGGUGCUUCCAUAAUCCUGUGCUCAUGCUGAUCUAGGCUGAAUCCUACUGGCAGGUUGUUUCUGCUUAAAAUGGUGUCCCUGUGGUCCCAGGGACACCCUCUGGCAGAUGACUCUGGACAAGUGGAGCACUGAUGAGUACUCACCCUCUCAAUUACACCAUGGAGAAACAAGGUGUGAUACAGAGAUAGCACAUUUGUGCAAACAUAGGCAUUAGUAGCAAUGAAAMAGAGGGCUUUGGCUUGCAGUCAGCUAGUCCGGAUCAGCUGUUGUGGUUCUCUAGAGCUUUGUCUGCUCCCACUUUUCUUGUUGCUCUAUUCCUGUCAAGGAUUUAGCUCAUGUGC